UACGCUUGCGGACUAAUUGGCACUGACACUGCAAAUUAGCAAAAACGCAUAUAAAAUAAUAAUUUGAUGGGUUUGUGCAAUUAAGUUUUAUGCAAUGAAAACAACCCAUUAUUUCCAAAUUUAAAAAAAAUCUAAGAAUUUUGCAAAUGUCAUUAAUAAUCACAGUAAUUACAGUAAUUAUUCCUAAUUGAUGUCAUAAGGGGCAUUUAGCUAAUUUGACCCAAAACAUUCGCUGGCGUUUUACUUACGUACUAUAUGUAGUUCAAAAGGCUGACUAGGCCAACAUAUUUUAUAUUGGUUUCCUCCACAUUACAGCAACUGCUCAGCACAGAAGAUGACUGUCUGACGAAAGACUCUGCCGUAUCACAGUCCAGUGAUGUGGGGGGAUGAUGCGGUCGUUCCAUGUCUUAAGAUCGCAUCAUGAAAGACAUUUUAGCUGACACUUGGAAGGGAGAGAACUGAAGAUCUGCAACAGCAGUGAGCAUGAGCAUUGUUAUCGAGUUUACGUGGCAACAGCACCAGUCGGACACCCCAGGAGCCUCAGUCCAGGACAACCCUUCCCCUCCCAUGACCAUAGCUCCACCCCUUUGACCUCCUGCCUCAAAGCUUCGUUGAGCAAUACCAUUCUGCUGGAAUGUCUGAGCAUGUUGAGUUUUCACACCUGCCAUCUCCAUGUCGAUCCUUAAGCACUCGAGCCUGAGUAGUUUGUUAAGCUCCAGUGCCAAAAAAUAAAAAGUUGGAUAACUUGUUACAUGCUUUGUGGGACUAACAGAGCAACAGCGAAUAAUGGGAGAAAAUCAAGAAACAGUUGAAGAGUUAAAAAUCAAAGCAUAAGCUAUCCACGGGGGCUACUUCUGAUUUCAAUAGUAGUAGCAUAAUGGACCAUCCUGAUUUGUCCUCUAAUGCGUCCAAAAUGUUCAAAACGAACGUGCUUUUUACACAGUUGCUGACAAAAAAACUUUGUUAUGAACACUCAUAGCAUGAUGAAUACAUCGGGUGUGGUUCAGGCAAAAAUUCUGCCAAUCAUGUUAACAAGGUGCUUAAGGUGCACCCAUCAGGGUUUGUUAGGAGCACUUCACACUCCAAGACAAAACAGUCUCGCAUUGAAUAGACACUUGAUAAAGCGUUGAAAAAUGACAGCAGUUUUGCUGUGUGGUCAAGUAUGCCCUUUUACUCUCAACCCGACAUUAGGUAGAACUCAAACUCGGCCCUCAGCAAUAUCAGCGAGGCUAGCAGUUUUGUUGUGUGGUCCAGUAGGCCCUUUGACUCUCAACCCGACAUUAGGUAGAACUCAAACUUGAUCCUCAGCAAUAUCAGCGAGGCCAGCGUGUCAUCUCGCCUUCUUCAGCCUCAGAAGAGCACCAUCAUCGAUAUUGAUUUUGCGCGGCAACAGCACCAGUCCAGCCCGCAUGAGCCUCAGUCAAGGACGAACCUUCCCCUCCACCUGACCCUAGCAGCCUCAGUCCACGACGACCCUCCACUCGACCUGACCCUAGCGCCUUCACCUUGACCUACGGCCUCAAAAGAUAACAUUAUUAUCCAAGAAGAAGAACAUUGUUGAAGUAAAUGUUGAAAACAGUCCAAACCCCCUUCUCGCACAAAUACUACAAGUCGCUCAAGACAUUCAGCACGCCACCUAUGUACAUCUCCCACAAAUUCUACAAGUCGUUCAAGAAAUUCAGCACGCCACGUAUGAACAUCUCCAACAAAUACUACAAGUUGCUCAAGAAAUUCAGCACGCCACAUAUAAACAUCUCCAACAAAUACUACAAGUUGCUCAAGAAAUUCAGCACGCCACGUAUGAACAUCUCGCACAAAUACUACAAGUCGUUCAAGAAAUUCAGCAGGCCAUGUAUGAACAUCUCGAACGAAUACUACAAGUCCCUCAAGAUUCAGCACGCCACCUAUGAACAUCUUGCACGAAUACUACAAGUCGCUCAAGAAAUUCAGCAUGCCACCUAUGAACAUCUCGCACAAAUACUAUAAGUCGCUCAAGAAAUUCAGCACGCCACCUAUGAACAUCUCGCACAAAUACUACAAGUUGCUCAAGAAAUUCAGCACGCCACCUAUGACCAUCUCGCACAAAUACUAUAUGUCGGUCAAGAAAUUCAGCACGCCACCUAUGACCAUCUCGCACAAAUACUAUAUGUUGGUCAAGAAAUUCAGCACGCCACCUAUGACCAUCUCGCACAAAUACUAUAUGUCGGUCAAGAAAUUCAGCACGCCACCUAUGACCAUCUCGCACAAAUACUAUAUGUCGGUCAAGAAAUUCAGCACGCCACCUAUGACCAUCUCGCACAAAUACUAUAUGUCGGUCAAGAUUUAGCAUGCCACCUAUAAACAUCUCCCACAAAUACUACCAUCGCUCAAGAAAUUCAGCACGCCACCUAUGAACAUCUCCCACAAAUACUACAAGUCGCUCAAGAAAUUCAGCACGCCACCUAUGACCAUCUCGCACAAAUACUUUAUGUCGGUCAAGAAAUUCUGCACGCCACCUUUGAACAUCUCGCACAAAUACUACAAGUCGCUCAAGAAAUUCAGCACGCCACCUAUGAAAAUCUCCCACAAAUACCACAAGUCGUUCAAGAAAUUCAGCUAGCCACCUAUUAACAUCUCCCACAAAUACUACAAAUCACUCAAGAAAUUCAGCACGCCACUUAUGAACAUCUCCCACAAAUAAUACAAGGUGUUCAAGAAAUUCAGCACGCCACGUAUGAUCAUCCCCCACAAAUACUACAAGUCUUCAACAAAUUCAGCACGUCACCUAUGAACAUCUCACAAAUACUACAAGUCGCACAAGAAAUUCAGCACGCCAGGUAUGAACAUCUUGCACAAAUACUACAAGUCAAUCAAGCAAUUCAGCAUGUGACCCAUGAACAUCUCCCACAAAUACUACAAGUCACUCAAGCAAUUCAGCAUGUCACCCAUGAACAUCUUGAUCAUAAAAGGUUUUCAGUAUACAAAUAUGCAACUGGAGUGAUGAUAUGCCCAGAAGAUAUUUAUUAAUUAUACCCCCUGUUAAUUGGGGUAUAAAAGAAUCCCCUUGGGCGGACGUCUAUCUGUCUGUCUUUCCAUCUGUCUGUAGGCGUUCACUUAACAAUUCAACGUUCAGCUUUCAAACUUUCAGGACCCCAUACAAUCACAGUUUGGUACUCAGCUGAAUUACAGGCUCUCUGGUGAGCUGGAGCUGGACGCCCAAGGACAAUUCCCGAGUAUAGGUGUCGAGCUCUUGGGCCAGGGAUUCGGGGCAAAGCUCAACGAGUCCUAUCCUCAGGGAACAGCCACUCUAACCUUGGGGCUCCACACUUCCCUGCUCAGGGGCAGAGAUUAUCUCAUCUACAAGGGUCCUUAUCCUCACAAGUUCAGGCCCAGGAAACCAUGCUUCUCAACUGCACCCAGCCACUGCAUCAAAACAGUCAUAGUUUGUUUCACCACUUUUAGAAUGGGGCUUGGACUCUUUGUAUUUCGAACAAGAAAUAUCUUUCAAAAAGAUAUACGGCGUUGAUUGUGGUUGUGGUUGAUGAAAGAUAAAGAGUUAUAUUAAUGAGACAGCAAAUUCCUUUUUCUACGCAGUUCUUAGCAGCAUCACAUGCAAAUCAAUAACCUUGCGCCAGAUUUUGUGGCUUACUUCGCAUUAUUAGAUAUUGUUGACCAUAUAUCUAUAGUUUAAACCUAUUUAUUUUAGCUUGAUUGCAUCGCAAGCCUUAGGCUUAUAUAAACGCUCUCAAUUCUAUUGAUAAAGAACAAAAAUAUACAAGAAGAAUAUAAAUUAAAUGAUGAUAUACGAGUAUAUGGCCAAACCGUACAUAUUUGAAAUAUUAAUACGCGCGUUCUUCGAUCAGACAUGUAUUGUUGUAGUGGUUUUUCGGACAUAGUUAUUUGAUUCGAUUGUUAAUAGUAUCGUGAAUCAUUGCGCUCAUGCUUAGUAAAUUGGUUGCUAUGGUGGAAUAAUUCUUAUUAAAUUAAUCAAAACUAGUACAUAUCAUGGAAUUAUUGAAAAACAAUCCUUUUUUGACAUACCAUAAUUAUAUCGCCGAAUAUCUGCAAUGAAGAUAUUUCCGGUCAUGUUCACCGGGUUAAUGCGAUAGAGUUUAUGAACGAGUCUUGUACUGACCGCGAACUGAACUUUAUACCUUGUGAGAUGGAAUGCAAUGCGUUAAAGUGAGGUCACGAUUUUACUGCUGGAACGACGGUUUGUUUAAAGCUUUAUACUUUUACAUAUUAUUUUCGAUGUUUCGAAAAUAAUUUAACAUAUUUUGGUCAAAGCAAAUAUCAGGAUAUGGAACAACAAUAUUUAUAUGAUCUAAAAUAUACGUGAUCACAGAAUGCAAUGAGGUAGUAAUAACUAAAUAUGAGAACGCAGCCUUUACAACAAAUGCUAUGGCGCUGACAAUCCUCUGGAAAUAAAAGGUGCACGCACAAACCGUAUUGAUGUUAAGAGUUGAGUGUAAAACUGUUCUAUCUAUCAAGCCUUUUCAUUAGAGAUACAGUGGUUUCAUGCUGAACACGCAGUAAAACAGUGUUAAAAAGACGCGGACAUGUUUUCAAUGUUUUGGUUGUAUGUUGAAAUCAGCCAAUAGAAUAAAUGAAGUGUAUUCAUUUGUGUCUAGCCGCGGUCAGGUCAGGUAAGGUCAAAAGUGGCGUUAAACAGCUACGCCAAAAAAACUGUGUUGUUAUUAUCCCCCGCCAUAGGCGAAGGGAUAUUGUUUUGGCGGUGUCAGUCCCAUCCGUCUUUCUGUCCGGCCGGCACUUUUAUGUCCGGAGCCAUAUCUUGGAAGUGCUUUGAUGGAUUUCAUUGAAACUUGGUAUGAGUAUAUAUAUGGAUAAGAUGAUGAUGCACGCCAAAUGGCAUUGUACACCAUCUGUUAAAAAUGGAGUUAUGGCCCUUUGUAUCUUGACAAAAAUGCUUUUUCAUAUAAGCUUAGAGCUUUAUCUCCAUUAACACAUGAGCCAAAGCCAUAAAACUUGCCAUGUUGUUCUCAAUCAUCUGGGGUUGCUUCACAUUCAACACCCACAGUCUUAGGUGUUAAGGUCAAGGUCAUACAUUGAGGUCAAAGGUCACAAAUUUGAUGAAUUAUUCAUUAUUUAGUCAUUCCUUUACUAUGCAUUAAAGGAAUUCUGUAAUAACUUUCCAUAGUAAAUUGAUUCAUGAAAAAUAUACUAUCUGCAUUUUAUUGUCUGCAAACCCAUCACAGGUACAAAUGAGUUAAAAACAAUAAUUGACAAAAGGCACAACAAUUCAUUUAUACCUUUUCUUUUUGUUCUACACCCAUCCAUAAACAAAAUUUAUUUGAUGGGGGAUAUCAAUUCAACAAAUUUGCUUGUUUUAAGUAAAAUUGAGAAAUAGGUGUUGUGGUUGUUUUUGCUAACAAAUACUUUAAUAUUGAGGAUAAAAGUGUGUUCAAUAUUACAUUUACUAUGGUUCAACUUGAACUGAAAAUGGCAUAUAUUUUUCUUUGUUUUGGAAACCUUCACUUGUUAAUUUCAAUCUGUCAUUUUGGAAAAAUGGAUACUUUGUUACAUUUGGAAUGGGACCGAACAACAGCCCAAAAUAUUAAAAUAAAAAAAAACAAACUGAAGUAAGUUCCCUUAUCAUUGGAAAAGGGAUCACUGUGGCACAGUUGUGAGCACCUAACACAAUGUCCUGUCUUAAAAUGCCAAGGUAGUCUCUUCUGUAUGAAAACCCUGUCUUGGUCGAAAAAUUAGCCUGAUUAGCCUGUGCUGACUGCACAUGCAUUAAGCCAAAUUUUCCCUAAAUGCGUUUUUUUAUAAGACUGAGACUUUUGAUGCAAUCAAGCUUUAACAAAUUGGUAAAACCAAAAUGCACACAAAACUGGGUUUUUUGCUCUUCAAUAAAUUGACACGAAUAUCUUAUAAAUUUAAGGGUUAAAAGUGAAACUAGUGCAUCUUCGAUAAAAAUGUUAAUAAGAUAGACAGCUUCAUGCUCAACCCUAAAAUUAUGGGUUAUAUUGAACAUCCAGAGCUUUAUUUCAAAAAUGUCAAUAGCAUGCAAAUUAUCUGUAGGUACCAACCAAACUGACUUUUUAACUCUUUACCAAAAUCACGUUCUAUAUCAAAUGUAAUGAUCGUAAUGAAACUGCCGUUUCUAUAUCAAAGGGGUCAAUGUUGUUUGUGCCUUUGUGUUAGAUGGGUGUUAUAUUUGCGGAGAUCUGGAUAGCAAUUUUAAUCACCAAUACUGUGAUUGUAAUUGUAAUUAUAUGCAAAUGAUAGUAGUAGUAUAAGAAGCGUUGUAUUGACUACAUCAGGAAUGUGCCUUAUGGCUAUAGCCCCCAGAAGAAUUGUUAGUGAUAUGUGGUACAUAUUUACACAUUUAAAGAUCUUUUUCAAGCUUACUUGAGCAGAAAAUGCUCUGGUAAGAAAUUGUGAUAACCCUAUGUCAAUCAAUGUGCUGUGUGCGUGUGGUCAACUUUUGGCUCGUUAACACUCUAGAUGCCUUAUUUGUUGAUCCGAUCUUCAUGAAACUUGGCCAAAAACUAGGAAACCAGAUCAAAUCUUUCAAAACCCCAUGCCACUAUAGGGGCAACAUGUAUGACUCAAUCUCGAUAAAAACUUAGUAAGCAUGCUUAUCUUGACAAUGUCUAAGCCAAGUUGGACUUUAGGUCAACAGUUAGAAAAGCCUUCUUACCACUCCAGAGGAAACAUUUAUGACUCAAUUUGAUGAAACUUGGUCAAAAUGCUUAUCUUUCAAUUUUCAAGUCUGAGUUUGAAUCUGUCACAUGUACCCAAAAUCUAGGUCAUGAGGUGCAAUCUUUCUUCCCACUCAAAAUCGAUCAAACUUGGUCAGAAUGUUGAUCUUGAAUGCUGCAUAUUGAAAUUACAUCAUGUGCGUUCAAAAACUGGGUAACUAGGUAAAAUGUUCUAAAUAUCAUGUUACCACUCUAGAGGUUGCAUUGACGACUCAAUCUUGUUAAAACUUCAUCUUUUUUAUUUUGUCUAGACCAAUUUUGAAAUUCGGUCACAUCUUUCCAUAAACUAGGUCUUUAAGUUAAAUCUCAGAAUACUCUAGAAGCCACAUUUAUGACUCAGUCAUGUUUAAACUGGGGCAUAAUGUUUAUCUUGACAAUAUCAUCUUAUAAUCAAUGUCAUUUUUGAAACUCGCUUAAGUGAGGUAAAAAACUAUGUCAAAAGGGCAAUUCUACCAAAGUUUUAAGUCGAACUAAGGUAAGUCUUCAGGGUCAUUCUGACCCUUUUGUUACAAUAAGCAGGAUGCAGAUAUUUUUCAAAGAACGAUAUUUUGCAUUGUUUUCAAUUAAAGAACUUAUAGAUUGUAUUAAAAGAAAAUCGUUACAUUAAAGGAAUAUUGUUUUUUUUGUUCAGUGUACUUAAAAUACUUACAUGUGUAUCGCAUUUAAAUUCAGACUUAAAUGCAUGUUAUGUUUUCAUUCUAUGUUCAAAGAUAUCUGUCAGUUGGAGGGAGAAAGAAAGAGAUGUUUAAAUAGCAAAACAUGCACACAUUGCUGCUUCAGCCUCAUUAUGAAAUGCAGCGGCAGCGGCAGAGACAACAACGAUGUUUAAAUAGCAGAACAUGCACACAUUGCUGCUUCAGCCUCAAUAUGAAAUGCAGCGGCAGCAGCAGAAGCAACAACGCUCACAAUUCAACAAUAAACAGUUCCAUUGAAGAGCGCUUUUAAAUGACAACAUGUCAAUGAACAAGGCACCUUUCUCUGAAAACCUCGCAGAGCUAAUGAACAGUGCAACUGCGCCAUAUGUGACCCUUCAGAGAAUGGAAUUCCUAGCCAAAUAUCUAAUCGGUGCCAAUCUGGGCUCUAGCAGCAGCCUCAGCCAUGGGGGACAGGUUUAUGAAGCAAUCUGGGCUCCAGCAGCAGCCUCAGCCAUGGGGGACAGGUUUAUGAAGCAAUCUGGGCUCCAGCAGCAGCCUCAGCCGUGGGGGACAGGUUAAGUGCCAAUCUGGGCUCCAGCAGCAGCCUCGGCCAUGGGGGACAGGUUUAGUGCCAAUCUGGGCUCCAGCAGCAGCCUCAGCCGUGGGGGACAGGUUUAGUGCCAAUCUGGGCUCCAGCAGCAGCCUCAGCCAUGGGGGACAGGUUUAUGAAGCAAUCUGGGCUCCAGCAGCAGCCUCAGCCGUGGGGGACAGGUUUAUGAAGCAAUCUGGGCUCCAGCAGCAGCCUCAGCCGUGGGGGACAGGUUUAUGAAGCAAUCUGGGCUCCAGCAGCAGCCUCAGCCAUGGGGGACAGGUUUAUGAAGCAAUCUGGGCUCUAGCAGCAGCCUCAGCCAUGGGGGACAGGUUUAUGAAGCAAUCUGGGCUCUAGCAGCAGCCUCAGCCAUGGGGGACAGGUUUAUGAAGCAAUCUGGGCUCUAGCAGCAGCCUCAGCCAUGGGGGACAGGUUUAUGAAGCAAUUUGGGCUCUAGCAGCAGCCUCAGCCGUGGGGGACAGGUUUAUGAAGCAAUCUGGGCUCCAGCAGCAGCCUCAGCCAUGGAGGACAGGUUUAUGAAGCAAUCUGGGCUCUAGCAGCAGCCUCAGCCAUGGGGGACAGGUUUAUGAAGCAAUCUGGGCUCUAGCAGCAGCCUCAGCCAUGGGGGACAGGUUUAUGAAGCAAUCUGGGCUCCAGCAGCAGCCUCAGCCAUGGGGGACAGGUUUAUGAAGCAAUCUGGGCUCUAGCAGCAGCCUCAGCCAUGGGGGACAGGUUUAUGAAGCAAUCUGGGCUCCAGCAGCAGCCUCAGCCGUGGGGGACAGGUUUAUGAGGGCUCAAGCAGCAGCCUCAGCCGUGGGGGACAGGUUUAUGAAGCACCCUGAUCUUCUCAAUCUCACAGCAACAGUAGAUCAACAUGACCUCUAGCAGCAGCCUCAGCCGUGGGGGACAGGUUUAUGAAGCACCCUGAACUUCUCAAUCUCACAGCAACAGUAGAUCAACAUGACCUCUAGCAGCAGCCUCAGCCGUGGGGGACAGGUUUAUGAAGCACCCUGAUCUUCUCAAUCUCACAGCAACAGUAGAUCAACAUGACCUCCAGCAGCAGCCUCAGCCAUGGGGGACAGGUUUAUGAAGCACCCUGAUCUUCUCAAUCUCACAGCAACAGUAGAUCAACAUGACCUCUAGCAGCAGCCUCAGCCGUGGGGGACAGGUUUAUGAAGCACCCUGAUCUUCUCAAUCUCACAGCAACAGUAGAUCAACAUGACCUCCAGCAGCAGCCUCAGCCAUGGGGGACAGGUUUAUGAAGCACCCUGAUCUUCUCAAUCUCACAGCAACAGAAGAUCAACAUGACCUGAAAGCGGUUCGUGUUCAGUGUCUAACAGUAUUCUAAUGACCAAGCCACGUCAGCAAAGCAGUAAUAAUAGCAGUCAAGUCGAGGAUCACCCAAAACCACUUGGUGCCUAGCGAUGAUUUUUCUGCUACCAACUUGAUCCGAUUAUUGUACUCACUUGGGAGUCAGGUUUAAGGUCUCAUAAGUUAACAACAUGACUGCACAAUAUGGCAUCAAUGGCAAAGAAGAAGUGAUCAGAGGGGGUUCUAACGUGCAAGUCAAGAAGGCGACGUCCAUGACGAGACUGAAAACCCUGAUUGCAAAAUGCAGAGUCUGCUCCGGAAGCAUUUGCAGACACAGAACAUGAACUUGCUGCAGUCAUCGUCUUCAGAUUAUAUCAUCUCUAUGGUGCAGGACACUCAGUCUGUGUACACAGGGAACCUUCGACGCCAAUGACGAAAUCAAACCAUCCAAUCAGAAACACAUCCUAUUGCAGCAGUUAUUACCAUAUUGACCCCAGUCAAAAAAAGAAGCUCAGAGAUAAAUACUGUUUAAGGUGUUCUAGUCUCUACAUACCUUGUGGUAUGUUGAGCACGUACUCUGACAGGUUUCAUCUUAUAACUGUUUGACUGGUGGAAAAUAAAUGACCUUGUUCAAGUCGAAAUGACAGAAUAACAAUUCAUAAUUCAAAUGCCAAAAAGUCAUAUCAACAGCCACAUUUGUUAUGUGACCAGCAAAGUUGUAUUCAAAGAGACACAAUAGUUUACGUUAUAUUUUUUUGUGACCAACCAAGUUGUAUUUAAUGAAAAACAAUAUUUUAUGUUUUAUGGGAAUUAUGAUGCUGUCAGUCAUAUUAUGUUGGACGUUUUAGUUAAAUAUAGUAUGUUACAAAAUGUAUUAUUUGAAGCACACAUAUUGCAGGUAUAUCCAAUGUCUGUGUCUGUAUUAUGAACCUUGCACUUCAGAUUUUGAUCCGGAUAUGGUAAAUUUAAGGGAAAUACAAUCAUAACAAAGUUAUUUUAAGAUUGUCAAAGCUGUUUAAAUGUUUAUGGUAACUUGGACACAAUUAAAAAUAUAUUGGCGUAUUGUCAAUGUUUCCGUUUUCUGUUUUACCAGUAAUAUAGAUGUGCUCAUUAAAAUAAUUCUUCAAAGAGGUUGAGAGUUAUGAAACUUCAGCUUUUCUGUAUAUCAAUCUUUCUGAACACAAUACUUGUCAAUUUGCUCAUUCGGGUCGGUAUUUGAUCCAAAAUCUUGGUAAGUAGCAUACUAUUUCAAGCGAAUAUAAAUUAAUUCUGGGCAAAAGUGUUUAAUCUACUUAAAUUAAUUGAUUCUUUGUUUACCAGUACUUUGUUGAUUUCAAUUGCUAUGGUUUGCUUAAUAAUUAAAGCAUGAGUGUUGUUUUAUUUGGAAAGCUUGUAAUAAAACUUAGAAUUAAAAACAAUAUUUAAAAAUAGAUGAGUUUUAUGAAAAAUGGCACAUUUUAUGUUUGUUAAUUUGUGUUGUAAGAUCAUAGACUUACAUGCUCAUAAGUGUUAACAUUCGAUUUUGGGCGUUAAAGUUUAUAAUGCUUUAUAUAUGCAUAUGAAGAUUUACACAACCAGAUUGUACCUUCUUAAAUCAGUGAGUAAUUUAACCCAGAUUUCUUGAUAACUGUUUAUAGGUAUAUUUUGCCAUUUAUACAUAGGGCAACUGCAAAGCGAUUGUAUUUUCGAUGUAAAUCAUUCAUUUAGUGUUGCCAUUGUUUAAGAUAAACUCACUGUUUACAUUUAUUUGUACACACCAUUGUAAUAAAACAACAUUGCUUGUGUAAAUGCACAUAUAUGUAUAAAAACUGUUUAAUAAUGCAGCAUUAAAUAUUCUGAAGAGAAAAGGAUAUUAACGGCAAUAGAAACACCUUGUUAUAUGCUAUGCUUUUCAUCGAAUGAAUUUGAGCAACUAUUAAAAUGAAUUUAUUUCUUCUUUAAUUUUAACUAAAUACAACGAUAGUACCUUGAAAUUAGAAAUGAGUCAAUUACAAAAUAAGGGAGAGUGCUGUCAUAUGUUAACAAUUGUCAGGCAUAGCAAUUGCCUCUAUUGGUAAUAUAACAGAGCAAUAUUAGUUGCUUAAACAAAACAAAUUAAGAUGUCUUUUUUUGUUAGAUAAUAAUUGUGUUUACAACUCGAUAUAACGAGUAAAUACAUACAGAAUUUCAAAUUAUCUCGCAAUAUAUACUCGGCAAUAAGUGAAAGUCUAAAAGGAUUUUGUGGAAUAAACAAUUUGCAAAUUAUUUGCUUGUUUCGUGAAGUAAUAGUUAUGGUAAAAUGUGGUACUUAUUGUUACACAAACACAAUGUGUAUUUACAAAAUGCAUCAGUAAUGACAUUUAUUAAAAUUCCUUAAAUUUACAUGACUACUCAGUGCUUUGAGUUUUGUAAUUGUGACGAUUAUAAGUGAAUAUUCUGCAAAAUAUACCUCUAUAUGAAAUGUGUAUAUUUCAAUAAUAAUGGUAUACUUGUAUGCAAAGUACUUGAAUAGUUUUGAUGUAUUGCUGAUAAAGAAUUGUGUAAUUGUACUAGUCCUAUUCCAGUUUGUGUAACGUUGACCGUUCAACAUAAGCUGUCAGUGGAGUGAAUUCACUGGGGCCAGUUUCUGUAAAUCUUCCGAUUUAAAACUGCAGCAUACACGUAUGUCUUAAAUCCAGAUUUAUAUAAAAGUGUGGUUGUUUAUCUUGAAUUUGUAUUGAAUGCAUAAAACAUGUUUGUUCUGUUGUUGAACAACUGA